UGGCGGACGGGUGAGUAAUGUCUGGGAAACUGCCCGAUGGAGGGGGAUAACUACUGGAAACGGUAGCUAAUACCGCAUAACGUCGCAAGACCAAAGAGGGGGACCUUCGGGCCUCUUGCCAUCGGAUGUGCCAGAUGGGAUUAGCUAGUAGGUGGGGUAAAGGCUCACCUAGGCGACGAUCCCUAGCUGGUCUGAGAGGAUGACCAGCCACACUGGAACUGAGACACGGUCCAGACUCCUACGGGAGGCAGCAUG
rnacentral:rRNA from 1 species